rnacentral:rRNA from 1 species
AACGAACGCUGGCGGCGUGGAUAAGACAUGCAAGUCGAACGGGACAACAUCUGUAGCAAUACAGGUGUUGUUUAGUGGCGAACGGGUGCGUAACACGUGGGCAAUCUGCCGAGAAGUGGGGGAUAGCUCGCCGAAAGGCGAAUUAAUACCGCAUAUGAUCAGUGAAGACAUCUUCACGACAUCAAAGCCGGGGCAACCUGGCGCUUCUUGAUGAGCCCGCGGCCUAUCAGCUAGUUGGUGAGGUAACGGCUCACCAAGGCUAUGACGGGUAGCUGGUCUGAGAGGACGACCAGUCACACUGGAACUGAGACACGGUCCAGACACC